ACUACGGGAGGCUGCAGUGGGGGAUAUUGCACAAUGGGGGAAACCCUGAUGCAGCGACGCCGCGUGGGCGAAGAAGUAUUUCGGUAUGUAAAGCCCUAUCAGCAGGGAAGAAGAAAUGACGGUACCUGAGUAAGAAGCACCGGCUAAAUACGUGCCAGCAGCCGCGGUAAUAAGUAUGGUGCAAGCGUUAUCCGGAUUUACUGGGUGUAAAGGGAGCGCAGGCGGCAGUGCAAGUCUGGAGUGAAAGGCGGGGGCUCAACCCCCGGACUGCUCUGGAAACUGUACGGCUGGAGUGCAGGAGAGGUAAGUGGAAUUCCUAGUGUAGCGGUGAAAUGCGUAGAUAUUAGGAGGAACACCAGUGGCGAAGGCGGCUUACUGGACUGUAACUGACGUUGAGGCUCGAAAGCGUGGGGAGCAAACAGGAUUAGAUACCCCUGUAGUC
rnacentral:rRNA from 1 species